rnacentral:lncRNA from 1 species
AGACACCCCGGAAGUCACGUACCCACUCUGUAGGUGCCCCGGGGCACAGGCAAGCGGACGAGCCAGUUAUCCCUCAGAGCUCCUGCUGCCUCGCCCGCUUUCUCUCGGAAACGUGAAGUGUGGCCUCAGCUGAAAGUGAGGUGGGCCUCAUUCAAUCAGUUGAAUUCUUCAAGAGAGAAAAACUGAAGUCCCUUAGAAGGAAAGAGUUCUGCCUUCAGACUGUCUUUGAACUUAAGACUGUAGCGUCGACUCCUGCCGGAAUUUCCAGCCUGCUGGCCAGCUCUGCAGAUUCACACUUGCCAGCCUCCACAAUCGUGGUGAAGCAGUGAUGUACGGCUAUUUGGCAGUGAAUUAGAGUCCCAGGUCAGCUUGAGUGUGGCUGUGAGAGGAGCUGUGGCUCUGGGUGGCAUGUUCCCCUGCACCUUGGACGUCAUGCUCCUGGGGCAGAGGUAUGAAUGAAGGAAGGCGGACUUUCCUCUCUAGCCCAGAGCUAAGGAUGACUGCACUAUAGGGAAACUGUUGGGAGGGUGCUUGGUCUGAAGGUUUGUGUCCCUUGAAAUUCACAUGUUGAAACUAUAACCCCAAAGUGAUCAUAUGGGGUGGUGGUGGGGUUGGGAGGUGAUUAAGUCAUAAGGGUGGAGCCGUCAUGAAUGGGUUUGGCCCCCUUGUAAAAUAGACCCCAGAGAGCUCUCUAGCCCUUUUUCCACUAUGUGGAGACACAGCAAGAAGACAGCCAUCUAUCAGCCAGGAAGUGGGCCCUCUUCAGACACUGAAUCUUCUGGCACAUUAAUCUUAGACUUCCCAGCUUCCACAACUGUCAGAAAUAAAUGGUUGUUGUUUAA